rnacentral:rRNA from 1 species
UACGGGGGGGGCAAGCGUUGUUCGGAAUUACUGGGCGUAAAGGGCUCGUAGGCGGCCAACUAAGUCAGACGUGAAAUCCCUCAGCUUAACUGGGGAACUGCGUCUGAUACUGGAUGGCUUGAGUUUGGGAGAGGGAUGCGGAAUUCCAGGUGUAGCGGUGAAAUGCGUAGAUAUCUGGAGGAACACCGGUGGCGAAGGCGGCAUCCUGGACCAACACUGACGCUGAGGAGCGAAAGCGUGGGGAGCAAACAGG